rnacentral:lncRNA from 1 species
AGUCAGGGCAGCCAACUGCGCACUCAGAUCAAGGGGUGCGCUAGUCUCUGGUCGCGCACUCGGCUCCACAACAGUGGGUACACUCGCCUCCAUCACCGGCUCUCCUUUGAGAAUCGCAGGGAUGUCUCCGUCCUCACCCUCAUGAGCGACAGCGACCACCGCCUCAGCCACGAUCUCAUCACCUCUGUCAACUCCUCCCUCACCCGUACCUGCUCUGUGUCCUCUUUCUCCUGCGUCGGCGGAGGCGACGUCAUCCUUGUUACUGUCGUCGAGAACCGUGGAGGCGGUGAAGAAGGUGAUGAGGGUCAGAGAGAAGAAAAAUAACGAGAGGAAAAAAAAGAGAUAACAAGGAAUAAGAAUAUCUUGAUCAGUAUACUGAAAAUUCAGUUCAAAUCUGUAAAUUCUAAAAUAGUAGUCUUUUUUUUUGCAAAAAUGCAAAAUUGAUAAAUUUUUUAUGCAAAAAGAUUUUUUUUUUGAGCAAUACUAGUUGUACGCCUCCAAAGGAAUAUAAGAUAUACAUCU